GUUACUAUUUAUUAAAUGAGUUAAAUACAAUCAAAUUAAUUAUGAGAAGAUGAAAAGGUAAAUCUAAAAAAAAAAUCUCUAUUUAUUAGAUAAUAGAGAAUAUACAAAGAAACAAAAUAGUGAUACCACAUCACCUCCUCAAGUCCUAACUUUUUAUAUAGAUAUGAAAAAUAUCUCUUCCGCGGAGGGGGAGGAUUCAUUGGAUUUGAUACGGGCUGACUUGGCCCAUUAGCAUUAGCAUUUGCUGCAUUGUAGGGUUCUAACUUUUUUGAUAGAUGUGAAAAAACUCUCUUCCGCAGUGGGCCGGUAUCCGGGCUGACUUGGCCCAUUAGCAUUGGCUGCAGCCGUUUGCUGAUUGGGAGCCUUGGUGGGUUCCAUCUUUUCGAAUAGAGGUGAAUAAACUUUCUUCGGCCUAGGGGGAGGGCUCCCCGGAUUUGAUCUGGGCUGACUUGGCCCAUUAUAUUAGCUGCAGUAUAGGGCUCACCGGAUUUGCUCAUGGAGUAUUGGGAUUAUAAAUGUGCCUCAACUUGGCCUUCCACUUAUUACGACGCCCAAUGCAAUGCAAACUUUAUUGAUAACUGAUUAGGAGAUGAUCUUCAUUACCCCGUUUUCGAACUUUAUAUCAAACAAGGAACCAUCCUUAAGGACGUCAACCUUCUGGAGCUCGUAACGAAGCGGGAACUAUAAACGAACAAAGUUCUGAAUUAAAAUUGUUUAUUGAUCAAGAGUUGUAGACAUUCUGAGGUUUCGCUCCUUUAAUACAUGGAAUGCAAAAUUACCAAAAGGGGCAAAACUAAACAUAAAAUAAAGUUCUCAUGUCUGAAAUAAUUGAAAAAAAAAAUGCGUGCAAUUAGAGAUAAUUUCCUAUCGAUCCGGAGGGCAAUAAGCUUUGAAAAGAAGUUAGCUCCGUCUUUCCAUAUGCUUCAAUAUUGUAUGUUAUAUGCACAAAAUGGAUACCUGUAGCUCAAAUAACAAUCUGGGAAGAUAAAGGUCAUGUUCUACGUCAACCCGAUUCCAGCAUCUUUGAUCUCUAUCGCAGAACAAACGAAGCUGCAGUCACUAUUCUUUAUACCACAUAUUAUUCUUAUACGCUUCAAUUCCUGCAGGGGAAGUGUUGAGACUGAUUUGGUGUAUAAGUACUAAACCAAUCGCCCUAAGACCUAAUCCUAGUUAAAGACUAAUUAAUGAACUUAAGAAUGAAAGUUUAAUCACACUUAAGGGAAAAUAAGGAUUAAGCCUUGUUGUCUGGAGAAACUAAGCAAAAUCCCCUUCAUGUUUUAAAAUAUAUGUAAACCACUCAUGUUAGUUAAAACGGUGUCAACUUUAUUUAUUAUUUUAUUAUCUUAUCCCUAGUCUUGAUGUUUAUCAUAAAAUUUGAAUGUUUUGAGAAUAUGAAUCAAGUAAAAUAACUUAUAUACCCUUAACGAAUAAAUUAAUUUAAUAACGAAUUGUAAGUUAUGGAGAAAUAUCAACUGAUUUGUAAAUGUAAGUUCUUUUUAUUUUUUUAUUUUUUAUAAUCAUUUAUAGUAUUAAAAUAUGAACUUUCCUAUUAAAAACUUAUUUGUGCCUGUUAUGUUUUUGAUAUAUCGGUUUUUGGGUAUUAAAAAUUUGAGCUUUUUAUUUGUUCUUUCUUUCUUUUUUUAAUUAUAAUAUCUGUGAAAGGUUGCUAAAUGAGGUCUGAUUUUGUUGGUAUAAUGAUUUGCAACAAAGAAAAUUAAAUUUAAAACUUCUCUUUAAAUUUAUUUUCUUUGAGGUAUUCUUGAAAUAAUGAUAGUAUUGUCUAUUAUUAUUGAGCUCAGAUGCCUAACGUCGAUGUUUUUGAUAAUUUUGAUGGGAAGAAAUUUGAUUUAGGGGCAUGAUAUGUUGAUUGUUUGAGUUAGGUUGCUAAUAUUUCUCCAUAAUUUUCAAUUCAUUGUUAGAUUAAUUUAAUUAUUAAGGGAAUAUAACAUCAAGACUAAAGUUAAAAUAGUAAAAUAGUACAUAAAGUUAAUAUCAUAUAACCACAGACCUAUUUUAAAAUAUGAGGAGAUUUCACUUAGUUUCCCCAAACAUAAUCUUCAUUUUUCUCACUUGUACAUGUCAACUAGACUUCAUAUUUUGUAUAAUAACUUUUGAUGAUACUUCGUUGAAGUUACUUGUAAGUAACUUUUGCUCAGUAGUGAAGUACUCUUGAUUUUCUAAUCUGCAGAUUGAUUACGCUCCUCUUUAUUUUUGAUGACGCACAAUAUUAACUAAUGAUACAAGAACCUCAUCUUCAAGUCUUUAAAGUAAAGCUUGGAGCUCCAAUAGAUUAAUCAUAAAUUCUUUUAAAACAAUUCUUAAUUUUUAUAGUACCCAUUUAUUAUAUAAAUUAAUAAUUAUCUAAUUUGAAAUUAAAUACCUAUGAUAUAAUUAUGUGAUUUUUGUAAAAGAUGUGCUCAGUUCGCUUAAAUCCCCAGUGAACCUUUUACGCCCAAACACGACAAUUUAUGUGAAUUAAGAAUUAUUCUGAGCUAGCAAGCAACUCAAGUUAUGUAUGAUACAAUAAUCAUGGCUACCACUACUCUUAAAUUGACAUUUCUAUCACUAUUACCACCACAAGUCUGCCUCCCUGUUGAAACAGAACUUGUUAUUUAUCAACUUCAACAGUUUAAAAUAAGCAGAAGAAGGUAGAAGCAGAAGAACCAGCAGGGAAAAAAGGAGAUGAAUAUACCUGUGCCUCAAGUUGGGCCAGAUAUUCAUUACCCACCUUUUUCAAUAGAGGGGAAACAAACCUCUCGGCUCAGGGCCUCCGUCCAGAGGGAGGGUUCCCUUGUGCUGGAUUGGAGCCGGGCUGACUUGGCCCAUUAGCAUUAGCUUUAUAGCUGCAGUCGUUUGGCUAUUGUUUUGCUGAUUUGGUGAGUGCGACUCUUGGUAGGGUUCCAGGUUUUUCAAAAGAUAUGAAAAAUAUCUCUUCCGCCGAGGGGGAGGAUUCAUUGGAUUUGAUCCUGGCUGACUUGGCCCAUUAGCAUUAGCAUUUGCUGCAUUGUAGGGUUCUAUCUUUUUUGAUAGAUGUGAAAAAACUCUCUUCCGCAGUGGGCCGGUAUCGGGGCUGACUUGGCCCAUUAGCAUUGGCAGCAGCCGUUUGCUGAUUUUGUGAUUGGGAGCCUUGGUGGGUUCCAUCUUUUCAAAUAGAGGUGAGUAAACUUUCUUCCGCCUAGGGGGAGGGCUCACCGGAUUUGAUCUGGGCUGACUUGGCCCAUUAUAUUAGCUGCAGUAUAGGGUUUCAUCUUUUUCCAAUAGAUAUGAAAAAACUCUCUUCCGCCAAGACGGGUUCACUAGAUCUGAUUCGGGCUGACUUGACCCAUUAGCAUUAACUGCAGUGUAGGGUUCCAUCUUUUCGAAUAAAUGUGAAAAAACUCGCUUCGCCGACAGGGUUCACUGGGUUGGAUCCGGGCUGAGUUGGCCCGUCAUCAUGAGCAUUAGCAGCAGCCGUUUGCUAAUUUUGUGAUUGGGACUCUUGGUAGGGUUCCAUCCUCUGUGAAUUUUUUUCAAGGGGCCAAGCUGUACGAUGUUUAGACAUGGGCGUACAAGUUUCAGAAACUUUUUCUUCAGUUUCAUCAAAUGGUAGUGCAGGAACAAGAUUGUAAUGUAUGUGUUAACUAGACUUCAUGUUUUGUACCAUGUACAUGGCUAAUAAAUUAAACAAGGCCCUUUCAUCAAGCUUAUAAAGGGAGUAAGCCGAAACUAAUACUUUGAUGGUGCGUCGUUGCAGUUGCUUGUUUGAAUGCAACUUUUGCUUGCAAGUCAUUUAUUCUUGAUUUUCUGAUCUGCAGAUUGAUUCUUCUUUUUGAUGAAACAUAAUGUUAACUAAUUAUAGAAGAAUUUCAUCUUAUUGAAAUUGUUAGACUUGACAUUAGAGACAUAAGUAACGCGUCCAAACUAUCCGCGAUGUGAUCACCAUUGCCAUGAGUAAUAUUCACAUAUUAUUUAACCUGCAUCUU
rnacentral:lncRNA from 1 species